GCGGACAUAGCUCAGUUGGGAGAGCGUCAGACUGAAGUCAACUGCAAUCACUUAAUCUGAAGGUCGUGUGUUCAAUCCACACUGGCCGCA
rnacentral:tRNA from 1 species